UACGAAGGGGGCUAGCGUUGCUCGGAAUCACUGGGCGUAAAGCGCACGCAGGCGGAUCGUUAAGUCAGGGGUGAAAUCCCAAGGCUCAACCUUGGAACUGCCUUUGAUACUGGGGAUCUUGAGUCCGGGAGAGGUGAGUGGAACUGCGAGUGUAGAGGUGAAAUUCGUAGAUAUUCGCAAGAACACCAGUGGCGAAGGCGGCUCACUGGCCCGGUACUGACGCUGAGGUGCGAAAGCGUGGGGAGCAAACAGG
rnacentral:rRNA from 1 species